UACGAAGGGGCGUAGCGUUGUUCGGAAUUACUGGGCGUAAAGCGCAUGUAGGCGGACAUUUAAGUCAGGGGUGAAAUCCCGGGCGUCAACCUCGGAACUGCCUUUGAUACUGGGUGUCUAGAGUGUGGAAGAGGUAAGUGGAAUUCCGAGUGUAGAGGUGAAAUUUGUAGAUAUUCGGAGGAACACCAGUGGCGAAGGCGGCUUACUGGUCCAUUACUGACGCUGAGGUGCGAAAGCGU
rnacentral:rRNA from 1 species